GAUGACGUAAUUUAUGGACAGCCCCUAUAUCUUAAAACUUAAAAAAAUGUAUGACUGCAAAAAAAAACUAUUUAAUCCACAAACCUGGUCACAAAACUUCAGGAGAAUCGGUUGAGAAUUGCGUACUGUAGAAAAGAACAUCGGACAUACGAAAAUAUUUUUGCCCAAGCCGAAACUGAGACCUUCGCUAAUGCUCGGUCCACAAUGAGUUCUAUGAGAGAGUAUGGUAACGUAUUAUUAAUAAAUCAAUUAAAUGCUUCUUCUUAUUACUAAAUAAGAUUUCACUUAGUAUUUUUAUAUAUGGAGUGAGUAGUAAGCUUACUUAUUCUUAUUUCUCUGUGGCGAUACUAAUGAGCCAGUUGCACCUCACAAAGUAUGGGCCGGUCGGAAGUAUUUUAUAGGUGGCGCCAGCAUAGGUUUCACCUGUCAACUCCAUAGUGUCAAACUCUUGUUUUUUUUUUAUUUUAUUGUCUGGACUGGCUCUUUAAGCUAAAUCUCAUAGAACAAAACUAGAGACAGGUAAAACCUAUGCUGGCGCCAUGUAUAAAAACCUUUGAUAGUUGCCAACCCAUUUGACGGACUGAUCAACGGCAAUCAGCAUGGAACUAUGAAUUUUCCCAUACAAUAAAAUUGAGCGAAUGUUUUAAAUGAUAAUUUCAAUAUUUUUGCCAUGUUAACAUAAAGGAAUUUAUGUCUUAUAUGAAUAUGAAUUAUUUUCAUUUAAUUUGGAUUUCGAUUUGGUUUUGGCAAUUCAUCGAAUAUUUUGAUGGCCCUAAAGUUAUAUUAUAUAUAUAGUAUUAGCUAAACAGGGACGCAGCUAUCUUAGAUAGAGUUACUCUAUCUCGUACUAAUAGGUUUUUACACUUGUGAGAAAUAAAUGUUAAUUUUAUAGCAAUGUUCCGCAAGGCGAGUUUGUGAUAUGUAUUAAUAAUUUCAUCUACACACAUAACAUUAUACCCUCUAUGAUGCGUUCAAAAACCGCAAAUUACAGCCAGCAUAAAGAUAAAUAAUUUCAACAAAUUUAUUAUAUCUGUGAAAUUGUUAUAAUAGGGGGUAUUACUGCAAUGUUCUGCAGCCAGAGUGCAACACUAAGUUAGCUAGUAAACCAUAGAGUAACUUAUACGUACUGUGCCUUAAGCCGUCGUAUGCCGGAGCGCGGAUCCGCGUACGAGGAAAAUAUUAGAAAAAAAUAAUCACGGCACACGAGAGGUUAAACUGAUUUUUGACAAGUUUUCACAGACAAUAAAAUAUGACAUUGUUGCAUCAAAGCGGUUUGUUAACAAGGGCCUACCGGGAAUCGCGAAAAAUCUAAAUUUUGUUAUCUGCCUCUUUAUCACUCGAAUAUGCAAGAGUGAUAGAGAGGCUGGAUAACGAAAUUUCGAUUUUCUUGUUUUGCGGUAGACCCUCAGAUUGUGAUGGAUUGUGGUAGUAGCGCCCCCUACGCAGAGUUUCGCGUAAUAUUUCCUAUUGCGUGAUCGAUAUUCAAACAUCUCUUAAAAACAAAAGAAUUUGAUUUGACCUCAUUUCUAGUAUCGACAUUCGAGAUGACGUUUUAUUCGAAAUGAAAUUUCAAUUGCAAACAGUUUGAUGAAAAUGUCGCAAUGGCGGUCGUACCAUGCGAUUCCUGAAAACAUCAUAGAGAGCUUAUAAUCUGUUUGUAGGUAGAAAAAGUAGUGUAUGUAACUGUACAUAAUUAGGCAUUAUUAAACUACUAGUAAAUAAUGCUCAAAUGAAACAUUUCAUAAUAUGUAUUAAAUACAGUCGAAUGAAGUUACUAUACUUAUUAUGUACUACAACUUUGAAUUUUGAUUAUGUCUUCAAAUAUGAGACUGGCAUGAGAGGUAUCCAGAAAUAAAUAUCCAGUUAAGUGUUGGUGUUGGUAGAUAGUAAGGAGUGGUCCAGUAAAAAAGUAGCUGUGAAUUAUAUGGUAUAUUUUUUUGCUAAUUAUGAAGCAGUUUUUUUUUGUAAUUUAGUUAAUAUACUAUAAGAUAAAAAUAUAAAAUAAAAUAAUAUCGAUAAAUAUGAAAUUGUUUAAGGUUUCUCAUUUUUAUUGCAAUGUACUUUGUAACUUUUUGAACAGUACAAUUUGAUAAUAUUUGUUGGCCGUUUUAUACCAUGCCACAAAUGAAGUUCCAGUUUCAUAACUUUUUUUAUGCUUUUGAGAACAAGCUAACGAAUAAGCUACCUAUUCCAAUAAACUGGAAUUUAUCAUGAGUAGUUAGGAAGUCUCUCCAAUCUAACCUAUGACAGAGGUUUUUCUAUGGAAGACAAAUCUGUAAAAAUGGCAAAUAUACAAAAGUAGAAAUUUCAUGAAACUACCUCAAAGUGAAGUCAAAUAAAAAAAGUUUUAUAUAGAACGAAAAAUAAUUUAAUAAUGUAUUCAUUCGCUUAUCAAACUUUUAGAUAAAACGAUGUGUAUGAGAAAUACAUACCUUAUAAUUUCCUUCAAAAGACACUGUUCAAAAAGUGUCAUGAGAGAUGUAAUACAAAACGCGAAAACUCUAAUUCACCCUUUUAUAUUAAAUACGAGUGUAUUUAAUUGUAAAGAAUAGUAUCUACAGAUCACUAUAGAAAUGAACUGCUUACAAAUUAUUACAAAAUAAAAUGAAAAAUCCAAAUAAUGUGCUGCUACUUUUUUUCCGGACCACUCCUUAGGCUCCAGUGCGAUUAUCGAACCAAUUCAAAAGUGUAACGUUUAAGAGCAUUUCACGUUUGCUGUAAGACUGAGUGUUAGGUUUUGCUUGCGGGUGUGAUCGCAAAAGCGUGUACGUAACGUUAGUAGGUGGCUCCACACAGAGCGAGCGGCCUCGCGAGUGUGAAGACUUGCCUCGCCCGAUGCAAGUCUCCACCGACCGAGCUGCUUCGCGCGGCAAUUUCCUCGCGAGGCGGCUCGUUCUGUGUGGACUUACUAUUGAUAGCAAAUAAUAAAAAGAUGGAUUCACUGUAGAUACGAGGUCUACGUAAAAUUCCUGCCUCAAACUCAACGGCAGAAAUAGAUAGCGCUCCACGGGCGUACAUUAUGCGGCUCAGAGGUACAAUACUAUAGAGGCGACAAGAGAGUUGGGGGGUGGCAACUCUAUAGUAUAGUUCCUUUGAGUUAUGCGGUAACCCUGGUUGUAAAGUGGACGUCUUGGUGUAUGGACUAUACCUCUUGCGUCAAAUGAUGGUCCCUAUGACAGUUUCUUCAAGUCCCUUUUGGUUGGGCUUAAUUUAAAAAAUAAUUGAAUAAAUAUGUUAAUACAGUAUUUUUAUUACUUACUUAAAUAUUACAUUUCUAGAUAUCUAUAUUUAUGUGUUAAACUUCCAAAAAAAUGUCUACAAACCUGCUACAAACAUUUUACGUGACGGCCAUAAGGGCAUAUAAAAACGAACUAUCAUUAGGGACCGUCGUUCGACGCGAGAGGUAUGGCAUUGAAAGAGUUUUAAUUAUUGUAUUAUAUCGUAUUUCAAUACAAAUGUGAGCUUUAAACUCAUACUUAUUAAUAAAAAUGAAAUCGUUUUUGCUUAA